rnacentral:rRNA from 1 species
UACAGAGGGGGCAAGCGUUGUUCGGAAUUACUGGGCGUAAAGGGCGCGUAGGCGCCUUCUAAGUCGAACGUGAAAUCCCCGGGCUCAACCCGGGAACUGCGUCCGAUACUGGAAGGCUUGAAUCCGGGAGAGGGAUGCGGAAUUCCAGGUGUAGCGGUGAAAUGCGUAGAUAUCUGGAGGAACACCGGUGGCGAAGGCGGCAUCCUGGACCGGUAUUGACGCUGACGGCGCGAAAGCCAGGGGAGCAAAGCGGG